CUGCAAUGAUGACAUCUUAGGACACCUUUGGAUUAACGAUGAAAACAAUCUUUACCUGAGCAGC
ensembl:snoRNA SNORD58 Small nucleolar RNA SNORD58